rnacentral:rRNA from 1 species
UACGGGGGGGGGUAAGCGUUGUUCGGAAUUACUGGGCGUAAAGGGCUCGUAGGCGGCCAACUAAGUCAUACGUGAAAUCCCUCAGCUUAACUGGGGAACUGCGUGUGAUACUGGAUGGCUUGGAUUUGGGAGAGGGAUGCGGAAUUCCAGGUGUAGCGGUGAAAUGCGUAGAUAUCUGGAGGAACACCGGUGGCGAAGGCGGCAUCCUGGACCAAUAUUGACGCUGAGGAGCGAAAGCGUGGGGAGCAAACAGG